CUAUGCGGCAGCAUGAACGCUUUAGUUCAUGAGGAAAGUCCGAGCAUCACAGAGCAGGGUAGCUGCUAACGGCAGCCGAGGGCGACCUUAGGGCUAGUGCAACAGAGAUAUACUGCCUCUUUUGAGGUGAUGGUGGAAAGGCGAGGUAAGAGCUCACCAGAGUGCGGGAGACCGUACUGCUAUGUAAACCCUACCCGGUGCAACGUCUAUUGGUACUUCAUAUCUUAACGUCUGCUCGGCGGAUAUGAGGUAAUGACGGCUAGAGCCCGCCGGCGACAGCGGGAGUAGAUAAAUUGCCGCACACGACAGAACUCGGCUUAUCGGUCUGGUC
rnacentral:RNase_P_RNA from 1 species